CCUACGGGUGGCAGCAGUCGAGAAUCAUUCACAAUGGGGGAAACCCUGAUGGUGCGACGCCGCGUGGGGGAAUGAAGGUCUUCGGAUUGUAAACCCCUGUCCUGUGGGAGCAAAUUAAAAAGAUAGUACCACAAGAGGAAGAGACGGCUAACUCUGUGCCAGCAGCCGCGGUAAUACAGAGGUCUCAAGCGUUGUUCGGAAUCACUGGGCGUAAGGCGUGCGUAGGCUGUUUCGUAAGUCGUGUGUGAAAGGCGCGGGCUCAACCCGCGGACGGCACAUGAUACUGCGAGACUAGAGUAAUGGAGGGGGAACCGGAAUUCUCGGUGUAGCAGUGAAAUGCGUAGAGAUCGAGAGGAACACUCGUGGCGAAGGCGGGUUCCUGGACAUUAACUGACGCUGAGGCACGAAGGCCAGGGGAGCAAAAGGGAUUAGAUACCCUGGUAGUC
rnacentral:rRNA from 1 species